rnacentral:rRNA from 1 species
AGGGUUUGAUUAUGGCUCAGGAUGAACGCUGGCGGCGUGCAUAACACAUUCAAGUCGAACGGAAGUAGCAAUACUUCAGUGGCGGACGGGUGAGUAACGCGUGAGCAACCUGCCCUUACGAGGGGGAUAACAUCGGGAAACUGAUGCUAAUACCGCAUAACACAUACUUGUCGCAUGGGGAGUAUGUCAAAGAUUUAUUGCGUAAGGAUGGGCUCGCGUCCGAUUAGAUAGUUGGAGAGGUAACGGCUCCCCAAGUCGACGAUCGGUAGCCGGACUGAGAGGUUGAACGGCCACAUUGGAACUGAGAAACGGUCCAG